rfam:Triticum urartu cultivar G1812 contig204215, whole genome shotgun sequence.
UUUGUACUCCCUCCGUCCCGAAUUACUUGUUGCAUAAAUGGGUAAAAAUGGAUGUAUCUAGAACUAAAAUAUGUCUAGAUACAUCCAUUACCGCGACAAGUAAUUCCGGACGGAGGGAGUAUGUG